rnacentral:lncRNA from 1 species
GGGAGAGAUUAUAAUUAAAACAAGCAUGGAGGCUCUAAGGUAAUAUUUCCCACCCCAAAUGCAAAGCGCGAUACAAAUAAAUAAACAAACAAAAGUACAUAAAUAAACCAUUCAUCACAUACACGAGAAACGAUGAACGAAUACGAGUGUGAAGUGCAAAACAUCAUAAAAAAGAAAAAUAUAACCUAAAACAUCCAAAUAUGAUAAAUAAAAGGGUUAAAAAGAGAAAAGACAACUAGACCAAGUGCUUGGACUCU